rnacentral:rRNA from 1 species
UACAUGGGGUGCAAACGUUGCUCGGAAUCAUUGGGCGUAAAGCGCGCGUAGGCGGUUAUUUAAGUUGGAUGUGAAAGCCCUCGGCUUAACUGAGGAAGUGCAUCCAAAACUGAAUAGCUAGAGUACGAAAGAGGGUCGCGGAAUUCCCGGUGUAGAGGUGAAAUUCGUAGAUAUCGGGAGGAACACCGGUGGCGAAGGCGGCUCACUGGUCCGGUACUGACGCUGAGGUGCGAAAGCGUGGGGAGCAAACAGG